rnacentral:rRNA from 1 species
CCUACGGGGGGCUGCAGUGGGGAAUAUUGGACAAUGGGCGAAAGCCUGAUCCAGCCAUGCCGCGUGUGUGAAGAAGGCCUUCGGGUUGUAAAGCACUUUCAGUGGGGAAGAAAGCCUUGGGGUUAAUACCCUCGAGGAAGGACAUCACCCACAGAAGAAGCACCGGCUAACUCCGUGCCAGCAGCCGCGGUAAUACGGAGGGUGCGAGCGUUAAUCGGAAUUACUGGGCGUAAAGCGCGCGUAGGCGGUCUGAUAAGCCGGUUGUGAAAGCCCCGGGCUCAACCUGGGAACGGCAUCCGGAACUGUCAGGCUAGAGUGCAGGAGAGGAAGGUAGAAUUCCCGGUGUAGCGGUGAAAUGCGUAGAGAUCGGGAGGAAUACCAGUGGCGAAGGCGGCCUUCUGGACUGACACUGACGCUGAGGUGCGAAAGCGUGGGUAGCAAACAGGAUUAGAUACCCGUGUAGUC